CGGAACUGUAUUCCGAUCCCAGCCCUGCCUUUUACUCCUUGUGAGAUCUAGCAGAGUCCUCCAAGAGCCUGGUCUCCUUCUCCAUUUUGCCUGCUGAUGAACCCUGAGAGUGAACUUCACCGCCUCUCAGCCCCAGCCUCGCCCCUAAGAGAGCCUAGGAUGGAAGGGAGCCUGCCCAGGUCAUAUUGAGUUGAUGACCAGCCAGCCUGGAGCCUGAGACUCAGGACCUGUAGGUCAGUGGGCCAAACCGUUCAGAUCGCCUGGGUUCCACAUCUGAAAAGGGCUUUGCAUGAUGCCAGCCUCCCAGUCAAUGGUCUGUAUUAAUUGUGACAUCGUGGCAACCUGUCACUUGGUCAUUCAGCUGACAGUCUUUCCUCCUGCAGAGGCCAAGAAAACCAUGGAGGAGCAGUGGACCUUGGUGUCCCUGCUGAGCACAAGCCAGCAACAAGGACCUGUCCCCCCAGGCUCCACGGCAUCCUCAGCCACAGACAAGCUCAGCCGCUGGGAGUG
rnacentral:lncRNA from 1 species